AAAACCGCGUCGACCGGUUCCCCGAAUGGGCCCGUAGCUCAGUUGGUUAGAGCACACGCUUGAUAAGCGUGGGGUCGGAAGUUCAAGUCUUCCCGGGCCCACCAUUUGCAUUUGCAGAUGAGGGUUAGGGAUGAUGGAAUGUCAGGCGAUGCGGAUUGUUGCCGAACCUUGGGGUCUUGCCCCUGGGUGAUCGAGCUGGAGGGGCUGUAGCUCAGCUGGGAGAGCACCUGCUUUGCAAGCAGGGGGUCAGCGGUUCGAUCCCGCUCAGCUCCACCAAAUCGAUUGGUGUUGAAGCUGACGGCAUUUGUCUUUUGAAGAAAAUAAGGUUUUGCAUCGGUUUAGGCUGAUGCUUGUUCUGCAUACAUUGUGAAGAGAAGAUUGAUCUGGAGGCUUCCAGGUAUCGUGGGUUUUUGCCCAUGAUGUCCGAGCCCAGUUCCUGUGAAACCAUGGAUGGCCUAGCCGGCCGGAUGUGGUGGAGGGAUUGGAGGUAGGAAGGAAGCCUGUCGCUCUGAGCCGUUGUUGUUUGCUGAUCUUUAGGGAUGGGCAUCUGACGGACGGCUUGAUUACCGUUGCCUGACCGCGCGGUAUCGGAUCCAAUCUCGAGAAGCUGGUCUUAAGACAGGCUGCAAGUGGGCUGCUCGGCGUAGCUCCAAUAAAGCAGACCUGUCGAACACGUUAAUGGCAUUGUUGGAUUGACUGGGUUGUAAAAGGUAACCCGGUCUGUUGCUGUUUCUUUGAAGCGGGCAACGAGACGAUGAGCAUUGGCAAUGAGAACGAUUAAGUGUCGUAAGGGCAUUUGGUGGAUGCCUUGGCAUGCACAGGCGAUGAAGGACGUGAUACGCUGCGAAAAGCCGUGGGGAGCUGCGAA
rnacentral:misc_RNA from 1 species